CACUGUCCCUAGAAAGAAACCCUCCUGUAGGUUUUUACUCCAGCCCUGUCCCUGGAGAGAAACACUCCUGUAGGUUUUAACUCCAACCCUGUUCCUGGAGAGAUACCCUCCUGUAGGUUUUAACUCUAACCCUGUUCCUGGAGAGAUACCCUCCUGUAGGUUUUAACUCUAAACCCAGUUCCUGGAGAGAAACCCUCCUGUAGGUUUUAACUCCAACCCUGUUCCUGGAGAGAUACCCUCCUGUAGGUUUUAACUCCAACCCUGUUCCUGGAGAGAAACCCUCCUGUAGGUUUUAACUCCAACCCUGUUCCUGGAGAGAUACCCUCCUGUAGGUUUUAACUCCAACCCUGUUCCUGGAGAGAAACCCUCCUGUAGGUUUUAACUCCAACCCUG